AUGCUGCCUCAAUUAUGGAAGACCUAUAAUGGUUUCUUCUUUUUAAUAGAUGCAUUUAGAGGCUACGAAGUUUUCUUUAGUGUGCCUUUAUCUGAAUCCAUCCACAUACAACCAACAUCAGAUCUCAGGACACCUCUGCCCAGGGGACAUCCAUGGAUGGUGCCUCGCACACAGGAGCAGUGGUGGCUGGGCUGAUGGCUUGAUGGACUGGCACUGCAGUGCUGAAGCCUCCUGAUGUCUUUGGGAGAGCCGGUGGUACCACGAGGAGGCAGGACUUCUGGAGGACUGAUUGGCACAGACCCUGAAAAUCAGAAUGGACAAUGGCAGUAGCAGGGAGUAGGGUGGUGGAGAUUCCUCUCUAUGGUAAGGGAGGUCAUGGUCAAGAGUCAAGGAUUUUAGGUAGCAUUUGAAGGGGUAGCAACUAUUUACAAUCUAGUAUUCUCGUUAUUCUAUAGUUAAUUGGGUUAUUCACAUUAGUACUUACUAGUUGAGUAUAAAUGCUGUCCCCUGUGAAUUCCCACUCCUCAGAGCAAGUGAAGUACAUAGCAGUGAAGGAUAAAAUUUUACUUUAGAGGUAGAAAUUAAAAGUACUGUAGAUGAAAGCAUGGGUGCAGUAAAAAGAUGAAAGAUCAUUGGAUAUUGCAUAUCAAAGCAGUAGUAACAAAUGAUUUUUAUUGAUUGGAGGAGAAAAUCAGACUGUGAGGAAACCCUGCACAGCAAACACGUCAGCAGAAGGAAUGGUAUAGAGGAGUUAUGUGUAUUUGUAUUCUACUUUGAGACUUGUUCCUCCAGGAGAUACCUCGUGCAGGUGUCAGUGUAAACGCUCUGCUCCCUAGUGGAAGUGCAGCUCAGGAAGCACGAAUCUGAGCUUCCACCACUAGGAAUCCCUGUUACCGGUACAUUCAAAUCCUAUGUAAUAAUUGGAAUUUAAUUUGAUUCAAGUCCUUGGAGUCCCGCAAAAAUCAUACAUAAUAAAUACCAAUGGAAGCAUGAUAAUUUGGGAUAA
rnacentral:lncRNA from 1 species